UGGGAUGUAGCCAAGCGGUAAGGCAGCGGGUUUUGAUCCCCCCCAGGUUCGAAUCCUGGUAUCCCAG
rnacentral:tRNA from 1 species